GUGUCCGGGCUGCAAGCAGCCGGGGCUGGCAGACGACUGAAGAAACAAGGUCAAGGGAGUGAUUAUUCCCUUAACCUCAUUUUGAAGGCGGGCUCCCUAAGUGAUUUUGCUGCUGCACCACCACUGGGAGCCAAGUGGCUUCUGACAAUUUUCACAUGCAGGAGAAACCGGGCUGGGCUUCCUGAGGCCAGUUUUGCCUGCGUGUGAGAACAGCUUCAGUGAAUUGUAUUGCUUCUACUUCCUCUUUCUCCAGCUGUGAAAGGAGUGUACAACUAGGUGUAAGGGAUGGAAAAAUGUUACACUGCAUCCAUCUCAGACAAUUCAAAAGCAGGAAGAAAAGAAAAAGAUAGGAGAAAGGACAUCAUCAGUAGCCACUAGAUGGAAAUUAUAAUUUUUCAGUAUUGCUCAGCAGGUAUAACGACAAACCACAAGCUACUUUCUCCUCCAAGAAGUUGCACACCAGGCAGCAAACUUCCACACAAAAUGCACAGAAGAUACAUACCUUACAAAACAG